ACGGGAGGCAGCAGUGAGGAAUUUUCCGCAAUGGGCGAAAGCCUGACGGAGCGACGCCGCGUGAGGGAUGAAGGUUUUCGGAUCGUAAACCUCUUUUAUUAAGGAAAAACGUAUAUGUGCUCAUACCACAUAUGCUUGAUGGUACUUAUUGAAUAAGCCCCGGCUAACUACGUGCCAGCAGCCGCGGUAAUACGUAGGGGGCGAGCGUUGUCCGGAGUUACUGGGCGUAAAGAGCGUGUAGGCGGUUGGUUAAGUCAGGUGUGAAAAUCUUCAGCUCAACUGAGGAACUGCGCCUGAAACUGAUUGACUGGAGUCUUGGAGGGGCAACUAGAAUUCCUGGUGUAACGGUGAAAUGUGUAGAUAUCAGGAGGAAUACCUGUGGCGAAGGCGGGUUGCUGGACAAUGACUGACGCUGAGACGCGAAAGCGUGGGUAGCAAACAGGAUUAGAUACCCUGGUA
rnacentral:rRNA from 1 species